rnacentral:rRNA from 1 species
AUUGAACGCUGGCGGCAGGCCUAACACCUGCACGUCGAACGAGUGGCGGACGGGUGAGUAAUGUCUGGGAAACUGCCUGAUGGAGGGGGAUAACUACUGGAAACGGUAGCUAAUACCGCAUACCAUCGGAUGUGCCCAGAUGGGAUUAGCUAGUAGGUGGGGUACCGGCUCACCUAGGCGACGAUCCCUAGCUGGUCUGAGAGGAUGACCGGCCCCACUGGAACUGAGCCACGGUCCAGUCUCCGACGGGGGGCAGCAGUGGGGAAUAUUGCACAAUGGUCGCAAGUCUGAUGCAGCCAUGCCGCGUGUAUGAAGAAGGCCUUCGGGUUGUAAAGUACUUUCCGCGGGGAGGCGUUACCCGCAGAAGAAGCACCGGCUAACUCCGUGCCAGCAGCCGCGGUAAUAC